AACGAACGCUGGCGGCAUGCCUAACACAUGCAAGUCGAACGAGACCUCCGGGUCUAGUGGCGCACGGGUGCGUAACGCGUGGGAACCUGCCCUUAGGUUCGGAAUAACUCCCCGAAAGGGGUGCUAAUACCGGAUAAUGUCUUCGGACCAAAGAUUUAUCGCCUUUGGAUGGGCCCGCGUUGGAUUAGCUAGUUGGUAGGGUAAAAGCCUACCAAGGCGACGAUCCAUAGCUGGUCUGAGAGGAUGAUCAGCCACACUGGGACUGAGGCACGGCCCAGACUCCUACGGGAGGCAGGAGUGGGGAAUAUUGGACAGUGGGCGAAAGCCUGAUCCAGCAAUGCCGCGUGAGUGAUGAAGGCCUUGGGGUUGUAAAGCUCUUUUACCCGGGAUGAUAAUGACAGUACCGGGAGAAUAAGCUCCGGCUAACUCCGUG
rnacentral:rRNA from 1 species